GAUGCCUUAAAUACGGCGAGUGAAGCGGCAAAAGCUCAAAUUUGAAAUCUGGUACCUUCGGUGCCCGAGUUGUAAUUUGGAGAGGGCAACUUUGGGGCCGUUCCUUGUCUAUGUUCCUUGGAACAGGACGUCAUAGAGGGUGAGAAUCCCGUGUGGCGAGGAGUGCGGUUCUUUGUAAAGUGCCUUCGAAGAGUCGAGUUGUUUGGGAAUGCAGCUCUAAGUGGGUGGUAAAUUCCAUCUAAAGCUAAAUAUUGGCGAGAGACCGAUAGCGAACAAGUACAGUGAUGGAAAGAUGAAAAGAACUUUGAAAAGAGAGUGAAAAAGUACGUGAAAUUGUUGAAAGGGAAGGGCAUUUGAUCAGACAUGGUGUUUUGUGCCCUCUGCUCCUUGUGGGUAGGGGAAUCUCGCAUUUCACUGGGCCAGCAUCAGUUUUGGUGGCAGGAUAAAUCCAUAGGAAUGUAGCUUGCCUCGGUAAGUAUUAUAGCCUGUGGGAAUACUGCCCGCUGGGAAUGAAGACUGGCAACUAAGUCAAGGAAGCUGGCAUAAUGGUUAUAUGCCGCCCGUCCUGAAACACCGAACAAAC
rnacentral:rRNA from 1 species